rnacentral:lncRNA from 1 species
AUGCCUGUAAAGAGCAUGAAAAAAGCACAGAGGACAGCACAUCUCAGAGCUCCCUCUCUGCACCUGGGGCUAACUUUUGCUACAUCGCUUCUGAGAACACUUUGUGGGCUUCAAAGAGGGGCACAGUCCUUCCUUGCAAGGAGGCACUCCUGCAGAUUUGUCUGGAGUCCUGCAGUCACUGAAGAUUUCCCUCAAGUGAAGUCAAGGGACCUUGAAGUUUAAAAAAAAAACAGAGGAAAAGAUCCUAAAAAAAGAAAGCAGGGCCCAUGUUCCUAGGUCUCCUGUUACAGAGAAAAACCUGAAAAUGUGAGAUGAAUAUAGCCCCACAGUCAGACACCAGAAAGCAAACAUGAUUUCUGAGACAAUGGGAGGGAUGCCUUGGGCUGGAUUCACAAUUAACAACAAAUGAUGGCUGGCAGCCCCAGUUCAUCUCCAAGGGGGAUUGCCCAGAGGGUUGGUGUAACAUGUGAAGCCAUUAGCCUGUGAUUUGGGAAGUCUGAGGGCUCAGCUUCUCAUCAUCAUCAGUGCAGCUUUCAGGGACUCCCUUUGCUCCUACAGCAUCUUGCCCUCUGCCUGUUAGAGAGCAAGUUCUUUGGGCAGAUGUUGCUUCUUGUUUUGUCUUUGCCCAGUGCUCAGAUCAGUAGGAUUGUGGUCUCAGGUUGCUACUGCAGUGCAGACUGUGACUGCCAGAAAGGCAAAGAUGAGCAGAGGAGGCAGGAAAGCAAUUCUGCCUUUCGAUGGUCAAUGUGCACAACUGAUGGAAAGUUGCAAAGCCCACAGUCCUGCAGCUGACUGAGGAGAUCUCACUCUCCUGGAGUUUAGAGCUUCAUCCUUAAAAAGGCUGAAAGAACUUAGUGUGGCUGAGAGAGAAGCAUGCAAAUGGAGUUUGUGGAAAAGAGCACUGAAGCCACUAUCCUGCCACUCCUGAUAUGGGUAAAAAUCAAUGUGAUGGGGCAGGGUGACUCAGUGGGGCAACAGAGAAGAGAACCAUUAUUGUCUCCCUGCAAGGAGAAGGGCAAAGAAACCAUGGAUCAAAAGCUGUGUGCGCAAAGUUGGGUAUCUGGACAGGAGCACAGUGGGGCUGCAUGAACCCAGCAAGCAGUAGAGCAUCCCAUGUGUCACAGCAGGCAGGCUCAGAUCAGGAUCCAGUGGGACAUGGUAGAGCAGGUCUGCGUGCCUGGGCAAGCAGGGAACACCAGGACCUGGCUCCUCAGGAAAUGAA